rnacentral:rRNA from 1 species
UCUAUAAUUUACAAUUUAGUAAUUUAAAUCCUCUAAACCGCCAUAAAAUACUUUAAUCUCCUUGGACAUAUAAUUAACUAUAAGGUGCUAUUCUUUUUGAAUUAUAUUUUUAAAUACAUAACGACAAAUUUCUAAUAAUAAUUAAUUUAAAAGCUCAAAAAUUUAAAAUUAAAUUAAGUUCAGUUUUAUAUCAAAUAAAUUCUAUUUAUACCCAAUGUUAAUAAAUUAUUAUUACCUUUUUAUAAUAAAUUAAAAUAAAACUUUAACCUAAAUUAUCAUUUAAAUUAAUUAAUUAAUCAAACUUAAUUUAAAUUUUAUUCA